rnacentral:lncRNA from 1 species
AUGUUUGAAUAUCUGAAUCUAGAAAUGCCCAAGACAAUGGAACUUUUCAAAGAUAACAGGUACCUGUCAACCUUGAUAGAAGGGCUCCUGGAUGUGUUUCCAGGGAGACUGCCUACCACGGACCUCCGUAUGCAGGCACCAAGAUUCUGGAUGAUAGAUUAGAACUUUUAACCGAAGCAAGCAGACAGAUUUGAAAUGCCAACGUGAACUGUGAGACAGACCUAGAAUGGGUUACGUGACUGCAACCAACGUAGAAAGACUGCACCAGCAGAAAUGGGGAAGGCUCCCACCAGAUUUCUUCAUGAACUCAAUGUGUGCUUCCUGUAGUUGACCCAUAGGUGUGGGGUGGUGGUGGUGGGGUCAAUCUUAAGCAUCACAAAGAGUGUAAAAUAUCUCAUGUUAAUUUUUAUAUUGGUUACUCAUUUAAAUGACAGUUUUGUAUAUCUUGAGUUAAAUAAAAUGCAUUAUUAAAAUUAAUUUCACUUGUUUGUUUUUUACAUUUUUAACGUGGGUACUAGAAAAUGUGAAACUAACCAUGUUGUUAGCAUUUGCUGCUUGCAUUGCAUUUCUAUUGAACAUUACUA